rnacentral:lncRNA from 10 species
CCCGGCUCUGCAUCGCGUCGCCAUGAUGGGCCAUCGUCCAGUGCUCGUGCUCAGCCAGAACACAAAGCGUGAAUCCGGAAGAAAAGUUCAAUCUGGAAACAUCAAUGCUGCCAAGGUCACAAAUCUUUUAAGUGUUUAUGGUAGUUUGCCUCCAGCUAUCUUUCCUGGUAUUUGGUCAUAGCCAUGUGUCCUGUGCAUCUAGACUUUAUAGAGUAGGCAAAUAGGCAGAGGAAAAGUUGACCUCUUUCAGAACAUUUUCCUGAUGAUGUUAGGGGAAAGGAAGCCCUCCCCUUCUGAGUUAGGACUGAUAAUCUUCUCGUAUUAACUUGUGCAUUAUUCUGUUGCUGUGUAUUGUUUUAUAGUAUUCUAUUUGUGUUUGUCUCCCAUACUAAACUGAGUUACUUGAACAUAAGUACUUUAUUCCCUUUUGUAUUCCUAGUGCCCACCGUAGAUCUUGGAUAGAUAUUCGGUAAAUGUCUUUUGAAUGAAAUAGUGAAAUAGCCUUAUAUCUGAUUUAGGAUGGUGUAGAGGCCACCGUCAUGGAAAGAAAUACUAAGACAUGGACUUCUAGUAAUUAGGACUGCUGGGAAACAAGCUCUGGGAGCCAUUUCCCCCUUAUUCUUGUGAAAAGUCAUUUCUGUAUCCAUUCUGAAAGCAUUCCCAAGGGGAGAAAAACAACAGAGCUAGCCACAUCCUAUAUCUAAAGUGGCAUGCUAUGUCUAAAGUGAUGGCUAACCAUGCUUUAGGGGUGUCAUUAAAAACACUGACUCUGGCUGGGCGGAAUGGCUCACGCCUCUAAUCCCAACACUUUGGGAGGCUGAGGCAGG